CCUCGCCCCUCGAUGCUCGCCGCCGAGCAGGCCCCCAGUGCUUCCCAAGCCCCUCGGAGGGGUGCGUGUAUCUGCAUGGGGGUCCCCCACCCCAUCCCCGGCUGUCUCCAGCAGCCAGGUGUCCUUGUGCUUUGCCGUGGGGGGAAGGAGGGGUGGUUGUCAGCCCGCUGUUGCAUUUUGCAAUUGCUUCCUUGCCUCUUCUCAGGAGUCAGUGUGUGUGCUAGGGGAAAUCUCUGCAAACACGGCUUCCUGCAAAAGGGGGAGGGUGUGGGAGAGCGUUCUGCAUCCUCUGUUCUGAGUCCUUCCCGGAGAUCCCCUCUUAUUCCCUAGGUCCUGGAACGAGUUGGAGAAGCAAGGAAGAAGAUAGGGAGGGAGCAGACCCUUCUCCUCUCUCUUGCUUCGCCUCGGAUUAACUGUGGCCGGAGAAGAAUCGCCGGCUGCUCGUCUCUGUGCUCUCCCUAUCCAGUCUCCCAGAAAACCACUUUUGCAGCAGACACUAGUGUUACUCUAAGAAACUCACCUAGGUAGUUCUGUGUCUCGCCUUCUUUUAUUACUCUACGUCUUGGAAAAGAAAAUGAUCAGAGGGAAACAGCAUACUUGGCUGAGAUGAUAGCUUGGUGUCAGAUGCUACAGCCUGUAAUUCUUUUCCUGUGUUGAAAGAGUAGUCCCAAGUUCUGACCUCGACUUGGAAGGAAGGCCCUCACCUCAAAAUGUCAAUCUCCGAGCCAUAACAACAAAUUUAAUUGUUUAAUAUUUUAAACUUUUCAUUAAGUGUUAGGUGAAUGUGUGCUUAUCUUUAGAUACUUCAGAUACUUGUAGAGCAAUUACUCUUAGGUGUGAUGCAGAUGCUGGCAAAUUAAGCUGUUAAAAUAUUAUGCUCUUUACACUCAGAUGUUUCUGAAGAGACCAUGCAAUAUGACAGCUCAGGAAUUCUCAUACCUUCCUAUUUCAGUUUUUUUUCACUUGCUCUCCAUUGCCUCACUUUGAUAACAAACCUAAACAUGUGAUGAAGUCAUUUUCCAGGUAGAGUAUAUUAGCUGAAUCAGAUGAGUGGAAUAGCAGUACUUGAAAGUAAAUCUAUGUAAUCCACAAAAAGUAGACAUAUGUGUCACCCUUAGAAUGUUUUUGUUGGGGUUUUUUUUUUACCUCAGUGGAACUGUAAAAAGUAACUUGUAAUGUCACAUAAAUAAAUUAAAGUAUGCAGCCAGCUCA